ACUUUUUUUUUAUUCUUUUUUAUGUUUUUUUUUGUAAAAUGUUUUGAUUUUUUUGUAUUUUUUUGUAAUAUUUAAAAUUUGUUUUUUGAACUGGAUUAGUACCCAGGUAAUCAAAGUUUAUUAAUUCGGGAGUAAAGUUUUGUUUAAACCGAAAAAAUAUUGACUGACUUUAGAUUUUUCUUUGGAAUAUGUGUUUUUGGAGAGCCCUCUUUUUUGGUGAAUUUUAUUGGCACAUGUAUGAUUGGUUAGUUUUUAUGUUAUUUGUGUUGCUUUUUUGUUUUUUUGCAUUUAAAACAGAUAUAUAUUUGGCUUAUAAAUUUAUUUUUCAUGUAUUACUAUUAUUAAUUUUUUUUGGAUUAUUUUUUAUUUUAUUUUUGAAAUUGGAAAAGAAAGUAAUUUUU
rnacentral:rRNA from 1 species